rnacentral:rRNA from 1 species
UGCAGUCGAGCGGUAACAGGGGAGCUUGCUCCUGCUGACGAGCGGCGGACGGGUGAGUAACGCGUAGGAAUCUACCUAGUAGAGGGGGACAACAUGUGGAAACGCAUGCUAAUACCGCAUACGCCCUUAGGGGGAAAGGAGGGGACUCUUCGGAGCCUUCCGCUAUUAGAUGAGCCUGCGUAAGAUUAGCUAGUUGGUAGGGUAAAGGCCUACCAAGGCGACGAUCUUUAACUGGUCUGAGAGGAUGGCCAGUCACACUGGGACUGAGACACGGCCCAGACUCCUACGGGAGGCAGCAGUGGGGAAUAUUGGACAAUGGGCGGAAGCCUGAUCCAGCCAUGCCGCGUGUGUGAAGAAGGCCUUAGGGUUGUAAAGCACUUUCAGGGGUGAGGAAGGGUAACUGGCUAAUAUCCAGUUAUCUUGACGUUAGCCCCAGAAGAAGCACCGGCUAACUCUGUGCCAGCAGCCGCGGUAAUACAGAGGGUGCAAGCGUUAAUCGGAAUUACUGGGCGUAAAGCGCGCGUAGGUGGUUUGUUAAGUCGGAUGUGAAAUCCCAGGGCUC